GUGCUCGCUUCGGCAGCACAUAUACUAAAAUUAGAAUGAUACAGAGAUUAGCAUGUCCUCUCCCUGUCAAGGAUGACACGCAAAUUCGUGAAGUGUUCCAUAUGUUU